rnacentral:rRNA from 1 species
GACGUAGGGAGCAAGCGUUACCCGGAUUUACUGGGCGUAAAGGGCGCGUAGGCGGCUUGUUAAGUGAGAAGUGAAAUCUCUGGGCUCAACCCAGAAAGUGCUCCUCAUACUGGCAGGCUAGAGGAAUACAGAAGUGAAUGGAAUUCCCGGUGUAGCGGUGACAUGCAUUGAUAUCGGGAGGAACACCAGCGGCGAAGGCGGUUCACUGGGUAUUACCUGACGCUGAUGCGCGAAAGCGUGGGGAGCAAACAGA